AUGGAAAAGGUGCUGCACACAGUGUUCUUCUUUGGAAGGCUGAAUCAGAGGCAGAUGAGACCCAACGAAUUCCUAGACUCCCAAUCUUUCCAGAGACUGCAGGAGAAGUACCCCCGGUCAUUCCAGGAGUACGACACCCACCUGCCCAGCCUGACACCAUACUCCAUUCUGCUGCAGUUUGGCAACGAAGUAGCAGGCUGCAGCACCCAAGAGGAAAUGGAGUCUUUCUUGCAUGAAUUUAAUAGCGCUGUGCAAACAACAAUAGAGCAUCGAGUACCCAACCUGAGGCCCAGCGAGUUCAUCUUCAGAGCCACAGUUGUCGCUUACAGCUUUUACAGAGAACCCAGAAAACCUAAGAAUGAAGCAGGCUUCCCUCUCUUUUAUGGAGCAUCUCUCUCCUGCAAAGGGCUGAUGGAGAAGAAGAUCAUGAUUAACAUCCUGUGCCUAAAAAUAUGGCACCAGGCGGUGGCGUUCGCAGUGUACCAUGGGCAGGAUAAUCUGGCCAUUGUCUUCCCUGAUGGAGUGCAGUGCCAAGCCUUCUGCUAUAGCAAUGGAGCCUUCAUAGAAAAGCCACCCUGUGUGAACUGCAAGAUGAUGUACCACGUUGACUUCCAGCCAUAUGAGGGUGACACCAGGGAAAAUGUCCCAUGGCUGCGUGGAAACUGCGCUGAGAAUGAGAGCCUAAGCAAGCUGCUGCAAGGCGUGCCGGGGCUGCAGGAGAGGGUCGUCUCAACAGAUGCUUCUAUGAUAAACAAUUCCCCACAGAACACCUACCAGGCCAUUGAGGAAGAGUUUGAAAAUGACAUAAAACCAAAUCUUAGAGAUCAGCUUAUCAGGCUGCUUCAGCACAAAAAUCUUCCUCAUCAUCUGCAGUUUUUUGAACCAUAGUGAGUGACAAAGAGGCAUCUGCAGUGCUGUGUAUCAGCACAACACCCCCAAGCCCUUGUCUUCCUGCAUACUCCCAUGGAUCACCCCACUGAGCUAUGAAUGGUGCAGGGCAUGUGAGGUCAGAGCAGCUGGGAGCCCCAAGCACCUGCAACCACUUCUGCCUCAGAAGGUACCAGCAUGGGAGGGAAGAGGGCCCUCUCACUCCACCUUUAUGCUGCCCCCAAACCCACCUACAUGCUCAUGCCAGCAGGUUCUGCUCAGCUGGGGUGAGGAUGCAGCCUGGUUCCAUGUCCUGCCAGCAGCACAAUAAUUUGCCCCUUUGACUCCAGCACACAGAGCUCUGCUUUUCACCUGUGUAAAUAAAUAUGUCUGAGUUUUGGUUACGUACCUGAUG
rnacentral:lncRNA from 1 species